GUGGGGAAUCUUAGACAAUGGGGGAAACCCUGAUCUAGCCAUGCCGCGUGAGCGAUGAAGGCCUUAGGGUUGUAAAGCUCUUUCAGCUGGGAAGAUAAUGACGGUACCAGCAGAAGAAGCCCCGGCUAACUCCGUGCCAGCAGCCGCGGUAAUACGGAGGGGGCUAGCGUUGUUCGGAAUUACUGGGCGUAAAGCGCGCGUAGGCGGACCAGAAAGUUGGAGGUGAAAUCCCAGGGCUCAACCUUGGAACUGCCUUCAAAACUCCUGGCCUGGAGUUCGAGAGAGGUGAGUGGAAUUCCGAGUGUAGAGGUGAAAUUCGUAGAUACUCGGAGGAACACCAGUGGCGAAGGCGGCUCACUGGCUCGAUACUGACGCUGAGGUGCGAAAGCGUGGGGAGCAAACAGGAUUAGAAACCCGGGUAGUCC
rnacentral:rRNA from 1 species